rnacentral:SRP_RNA from 1 species
ACCGAGAGUGGUGAUGUAAUCCUGUAAUCCAACUACUUGGGGAGGCUAGCUAGGUAUAGAGGAUGUUUUAAGGGGGCGGGGAUUCUGGGAUUGGAUUUUCCACGUUGACAAGGCGUCCGCUAAGGGAUAAAUCUUAAACUUGGAUGUCUUGGGAGAGUCCGAGGUAGCCAGGGUGAGUCUGAAAAGGGGAAAAAUCGGCUCAAAAGUCACCGAAUUGACAGUCGUGGGAGUUCAAUUUCAGCUCGUCCAAACAAGAACAGACCUGUACCUAC